GCUGGAGGGAAAAUGCUGGGGUCUGAGCUGGAGAGACAACACUGGGGGCUGAGCUGGAAAGACAAUGCAGGGGGCUGAGAUGGAGAGACAGGGGACUGAGCUGGAGACACAUGGCCAUGGGCUGAGCUGGAGAGACAGGAAGCUGAACUGGUGAGACAGGUUCCCAGGGAUGCAGUGUGCGGGUGCGCAGGUGAUGUAAUGACUUAACCCGCGAUGUGAGGAGCCUGGGCGCUAGUUGGAUCCAGUUUGAUCCAGCCGUCGGUGGCAAUGACAGGAGAAGCAGCCAGUGGGAGGCCAUGAAGCGUGAAAGCGGGAGCCGUGACUGCGGGGAGAGGGAGGACUGAAGCUAGGCAGCAUGGCAACUUGUCAGUUGCAGAUAGAGGAGUGAGAUGAAACACUUGUACUCUUCGUCCUCUGUGACACCAGUGAAUACAGCCCCUUGUCAUGCUUGCAUGUGUUGUGGCUAAAAAUACAUAUAUGAUGAAGACACCAGCAGAUGCCAGGUUACUGGGAUAGUACCAAGAGAUAAUAUUACCUACUUCGUGACACUGUCAGUAAAUAAAUGUUUGUCCAACGAAACCAAGUGAUACAUUUACUCGUCUUUCCAACUAAUCAAGAAGCACAGAAUAUUUGGAAGGACUUGUCUAUCACAGAAACAUUCUAGAGUUUCAGACACCGAAUACAUGACUCACAGAGACAGGAAGGAGCCUAAAGGUGCAAAGGAAAAAGAUUUAUACAAUACCAAAUUCAAUUUAAAUAACCUACAUGUCGAACAUCUCAUUAUCCUUUCAACAAACUCUAAACAUGACCAGACAGCUUGCAUUGCCA